rnacentral:rRNA from 1 species
UACGUAGGAUGCAAGCGUUGUCCGGAAUUAUUGGGCGUAAAGAGCGCGCAGGCGGUAUGACAAGUCAGAUGUGAAAGAGGCCGGCUUAACCGGCAAGGGUCAUUUGAAACUGUCAGACUAGAGUGCAGCAGAGGAUAGUGGAAUUCCCGGUGUAGCGGUAGAAAUGCGCAGAUAUCAGGAGGAACACCGGUGGCGAAGGCGGUUCUCUGGGCAUUACCUGACGCUGAGGAGCGAAAGUGUGGGGAGCGAACAGG